GGGUGGGUGGCUCAGUGGUUAGAGCCUAGGUCUUGGUAGCGAAAGGUCGCGGGAUCGAAUCUCGUAACAGGCA
rnacentral:tRNA from 1 species